rnacentral:rRNA from 1 species
UUGUGAAAUCCAAUGGCUCAACCAUUGAACUGCAUUUGAAACUGCUAGACUAGAGUAUGGGAGGGGGAGAUGGAAUUAGUGGUGUAGGGGUAAAAUCCGUAGAUAUCACUAGGAAUACCUAAAGCGAAGGCGAUCUCCUGGAACAUAACUGACGCUAAG